AAAUUUGUCUUUCUCUAUCUUGGAUUUGGCCUCUUCAGAUCUAUUCUUCUCUUUCUCUAUCUCCUGGCUCACUCCGUCCUGCCGCAUCUUGCGCCGCCGGUCAGGGGGGCGAUCUCCACCUCCGCAUACGUCUCAGGUGAGAAGAAGAUGGUGGCCCACCGGUUGUGGGGAUCAAGCUGCUGCAGGUGGUGGGCGGCUCCAGCACCCUCCUCUGCCGUACGAUUAUCUCUUCCUGGUCGUCGCGCUGUCUCUCGAGGCAGCAAUGGAGGCACGUCCUUCACCGGAGGCGACCCUCUCCUUUCCAUCCCUGGCCAUCCAACGAGGCGGCACGCCCUCCUCUUCCUUUACUUAUUCUUUAUUUCUUUUUGAUGGCAACGAUCUCCAUGUUUUUCUCGAUUUUUCCCAUCUUCUGCUUUCCCCUGAUUUUUUUUAUUGAUUUGCUGCCUCCGCUCCCUGUAGAUGGAUGGCGCUGCUCUUGGUGCUGCUCCGCCUGGUUGCCGUGGUAGCCUGUCGGGGCGUCCCAGCCGAUGAUGUACUAUCGGCUCCUCCUCUGAUUCCGGUCUGCAGAUGGACGCCGCCGGUAGGCCGACGGGGCGGCCCGGCCGAGGUCGUCCGGACGCCUCCGUUUCUCCUGCAAGCCUAGAGGUCGACGCUCCGUGGUUCCGCUCCGCGGCCGUCACCGCACUCCGUAUGGAUGAUCCAGGGUUUGCGCGUUCAUCUCCAUCCUACCAGUUCUUUAGUUUGUACAUGAGUACAUCAUGUUGAGAUGAUUUCUGGUGGCCAGUUCGGCUUUGCUCCUGCUCCACGGUCGUUGGCAACUCUGCCGCCUCCGCCCUUCCUACUGAUCUGCAGGUUCAUCGCCCUUCCUGAAUUUUAUACUAACUGACCACAUAUCCUUUUCCGUGUGGCCGGAGUGGUGGGCGUCGGAUCAUGCCCCUGGAGGUUGUGCACUUGUGCUCGUGUGUCUGCCUCUCUUGGUCUACAGAUGGAUGGUGCCUCUAUUCCUCCGGGUGUCUGCCAUGGUAACCUUCUGGGGCGUGCCGGUGCGUUAGCCUUGCAUACUGGUUUGGCUUCUCCUUCCAGUCCCGAGACGGCUGGCGUACCGAGGCGGCUGGCGGUGCGCUGUACGACCUCCUGUCCUUCCUGAGGUGUAUCGGCUAUGUGAGGAGCUAAAGCGUCUAUCGUCGUGGUUGAUCCUCUCUCAAGUGAAGGAGAGGUAUUGUGCGUGCUUGCCCGCAGAGUGUCCGGAUUGGAGUUGUGACCGUGCGUCGCCGCCGUGGUUCCCGGCUCCUCCACACGUAGCACAUCCAUCUAUGGAUGAUUUGGUUUCCUCACGUAGUCACCUAUCAUGCUUGCAAAGUAACAAGGAGAACCUCAAUGAAGCCAAGAGGAGAAAAACUAAUAUACUCAUAUCUAAAUUUUACUGACAGAGAAUACGUCAUCAUAGUAAAAGAAUUGAGAAUCAUUACGGGGUUGAUGCAUUCAUAUAGAAUGAUCUCUUCUUCCAUACACCAAUACCUAAUCAGUUGUGCUUCAAAUCAAGAUGAUGCCACUGCAAUUAAUGGAUUUGACCAAGGUUUCUAUUGAUGUCGGUUGCAGUUACCCAACUAUGGAUGUAUAUGUACAAGCUGACAGAGCUCCAAGUGCUGAACAUUUCGUUCCCAUCUGUCAGGGUACUAUCUGUAGACUCUAUGUUGUAUGGUAGUGUAGUGUUUUUGUUCCGUUGGAGACAUAUUGCCUUUCUAUUGACAGUACUGUAAGUUGGUACAUGUGUGUUCACUCACAGUGUACCACUUUUUAGUGCCUCCGAACAAUGUUGUUGUCUGUACUUUUGGGCCCAUCCCGGAGAAACAAUUUCUCUAUCGUUUGCAUUUCACUCUUAUCUAUCUGGCCGUUUCCAGUC